GACGAACGCUGGCGGCGUGCCUAAUACAUGCAAGUCGAACAGUGGCGAACGGGUGAGUACCACGUGAGUAACCUUCCCUCCACUUUGUGAUCACUCCGAGAAAUCGGGGCUAAUACUGGAUAGUGGGGGAUGGGCUCGCGGCCUAUCAGUUUGUUGGUGAGGUAGUGGUCACCAAGGCGUAACGGGUAGCCGGCCUGUGAGGGCGACCGGCCACACUGGGACUGAGACACGGCCCAGACUCCUACGGGAGGCAGCAGUGGGGAAGAUUGCACAAUGGGCGAAAGCAUGAUGCAGCGACGACGCGUGGGGGAUGACGGCCUUCGGGUUGUAAAACUCUUUCAGCAAGGAAGCGGUACUUGCAGAAGAAGCGCCGGCUAACUACGUGCCAGCAGCCGCGGUAAUUC
rnacentral:rRNA from 1 species